rnacentral:rRNA from 1 species
CAGUCGCCGCGGUAAAACGUAGGUCCCGAGCGUUGUCCGGAUUUAUUGGGCGUAAAGCGAGCGCAGGCGGUUAGAUAAGUCUGAAGUUAAAGGCUGUGGCUUAACCAUAGUACGCUUUGGAAACUGUUUAACUUGAGUGCAGAAGGGGAGAGUGGAAUUCCAUGUGUAGCGGUGAAAUGCGUAGAUAUAUGGAGGAACACCGGUGGCGAAAGCGGCUCUCUGGUCUGUAACUGACGCUGAGGCUCGAAAGCGUGGGGAGCAAACAGGAUUAGAUACCCCGGUAGUCCCUGUCUCUUAUACC